rnacentral:misc_RNA from 1 species
CUAAAUUUCUGCAACUUGCUGGGAAAGGAUAAAACCAAGUACCGCUUGAAGCAAAUUUACACCUGUGCACUUUAAUGUCUUUUGGGAGAAGCUGUAUAGCGACUCCCAGCAUUGAUAAACACCUAUUGACCAAGUCUGAACAAUUUAUUUAAAAUAUAAA